rnacentral:misc_RNA from 1 species
UACGAGUGCCCCAAGCGUUACCCGGAUUUACUGGGCGUAAAGGAUGUGUAGGCGGUGCUGUUAGUCCUUUGUUAAAUCUGUGGGCUCAACCUACAGGCCGCAGGGGAAACGGCAGCACUAGAGGAUGUGAGAGGUGUACGGAACUCAUGGUGUAGGGGUGAAAUCCGUUGAUAUCAUGGGGAACACCGAAUGCGAAGGCAGUACACUGGCACAUUCCUGACGCUGAGACAUGAAAGCUAGGGUAGCGAACGGG